AAAAGCUUUAAGGAAAUCUCUUUGUUUUUUGAAAGGGUGCUUUUAUGAGAUAGAGCUUUUUUAGAUAAUGCUGGGGAAGGUUUUCCGGUUUAUCUCGGAGGGCUUGUAGCUCAGUUGGUUAGAGCGCGCGCUUGAUAAGCGUGAGGUCGGAGGUUCAAGUCCUCCCAGGCCCACCAAUUUACCUAUCCAUUUGCCUUUAUCCGUUUAUUUGCCGAUUUAUCGGUCCAUUGAAUUUAAGUGUUGGUAGCGGUUUUUAUAAUGAUGAGAAAUCAUGCUUAUAAAAGAAUUCCUUAUAAAAGGCUUGUUUUUAAAAUGUGACGCUUAUCCAUUUCGCUUAGGCAAAAGAAACUUCAAGCGGUCAAAUGCAAAAGGCUUUAAAUUUUGCAAAACACUUUGAAUUUUAAAGUGAUCCAAGUUCGUGAUCUCGAAUUUAAAAGUUUCAAAUGCUUUAUCCUUUUUUGGGGGCCGUAGCUCAGCUGGGAGAGCACCUGCUUUGCAAGCAGGGGGUCGUCGGUUCGAUCCCGUCCGGCUCCACCAUUUAGAUCAUCAUCAUUGUUGUGAGAACACUCUUUAGUGAGAGGUUAAGUAGCCUUUCGCUUGUUCUAUUGAAAUUGUGAA
rnacentral:tRNA from 1 species